rnacentral:rRNA from 5 species
CAGGUGCUGCAUGGCUGUCGUCAGCUCGUGUUGUGAAAUGUUGGGUUAAGUCCCGCAACGAGCGCAACCCUUAUCCUUUGUUGCCAGCGAUUAGGUCGGGAACUCAAAGGAGACUGCCAGUGAUAAACUGGAGGAAGGUGGGGAUGACGUCAAGUCAUCAUGGCCCUUACGACCAGGGCUACACACGUGCUACAAUGGCGCAUACAAAGAGAAGCGACCUCGCGAGAGCAAGCGGACCUCAUAAAGUGCGUCGUAGUCCGGAUUGGAGUCUGCAACUCGACUCCAUGAAGUCGGAAUCGCUAGUAAUCGUGGAUCAGAAUGCCACGGUGAAUACGUUCCCGGGCCUUGUACACACCGCCCGUCACACCAUGGGAGUGGGUUGCAAAAGAAGUAGGUAGCUUAACCUUCGGGAGGGCGCUUACCACUUUGUGAUUCAUGACUGGGGUGAAGUCGUAACAAGGUAACCGUAGGGGAACCUGCGGUUGGAUCACCUCCUUACCUUAAAGAA